rnacentral:lncRNA from 1 species
CAGAUACAUUGUUUUCCUCUGUGACAUUCCACCUUUGUCCACUUUUGUGAAAGAAAAUGAUGAUAGUAAAUAUAUCGGUGUAAUUAACGUUCUUGUUGUUGUUAUCGCAUUCUAUUUAUUGGAUUUGACGUUAAAGGGGCUCAUAGCAGCCUAUUUUCUCAAUUUUUUGCUACUGUGCUUUUAGAUCUUUUAGCUUCCCCUAUAUCGAUUCCCAUUUACGUCGCGUUAAAGGGUUUCAUUCGACCUUUUCUUGGUUCUAAAACCAUGGAUAUUGAACGCAAUGCACCUAAGCCUUUACUAGCCAAAGAAGUAAAAAAACCUGCAGUGGAGGUGGAGAAGAUUGUGGAAGUU